ACGGCUUACACCCACCCGUGUCUACAUACUAUUGUUGCUUUGGCGGGCCGUGGCCUCCACUGCGGGCUCUGCUCGUGUGUGCCCGCCAGAGGACCAAACUCUGAAUGUUAGUAAUGUCUGAGUACUAUCUAAUAGUUAAAACUUUCAACAACGGAUCUCUUGGUUCUGGCAUCGAUGAAGAACGCAGCGAAAUGCGAUAAGUAAUGUGAAUUGCAGAAUUCAGUGAAUCAUCGAAUCUUUGAACGCACAUUGCGCCCUGUGGUAUUCCGCAGGGCAUGCCUGUUCGAGCGUCAUUUAACCACUCACGCCUGGCGUGGUAUUGGGGCACGCGGUUCCGCGGCCCUCAAAAUCAGUGGCGGCGCCGGUGGGCUCUAAGCGUAGUACAUACUCCCGCUAUAGAGUUCCCCCGGUGGCUCGCCAGAACCCCCAUAUU
rnacentral:rRNA from 1 species